GACGAACGCUGGCGGCGUGCCUAAUACAUGCAAGUAGAACGCUGAAGAGAGGAGCUUGCUCUUCUUGGAUGAGUUGCGAACGGGUGAGUAACGCGUAGGUAACCUGCCUUGUAGCGGGGGAUAACUAUUGGAAACGAUAGCUAAUACCGCAUAACAAUAGGUGACACAUGUCAUUUAUUUGAAAGGGGCAAUUGCUCCACUACAAGAUGGACCUGCGUUGUAUUAGCUAGUAGGUGAGGUAACGGCUCACCUAGGCGACGAUACAUAGCCGACCUGAGAGGGUGGUCGGCCACCCUGGGACUGAGACACGGCCCAGACUCCUACGGGAGGCAGCAGUAGGGAAUCUUCGGCAAUGGGGGCAACCCUGACCGAGCAACGCCGCGUGAGUGAAGAAGGUUUUCGGAUCGUAAAGCUCUGUUGUAAGUCAAGAACGAGUGUGAGAGUGGAAAGUUCACACUGUGACGGUAGCUUACCAGAAAGGGACGGCUAACUACGUG
rnacentral:rRNA from 1 species